rnacentral:lncRNA from 10 species
UGGGAGGAUGGCUUGAGACCAGAUGGUCCAGGCUGCAGUGAUCUGUGCUCAUGCCCCUGCACUCCAGCCUGGAAAACAGAGCAUGUCUCCCAAUGCUUUGAAGCAUAGUGUCAUCAAUAGAAGUUUGAUGAAUGAAUGCAUGAAAGAAUGUGAUUACUGAUUUUUCAUGUUUGAUUUUAUAGGACUCAGCCAACUAUGAAGUUUUUUGUCUUUGCUUUAGUCUUGGCUCUCAUGAUUUCCAUGAUUAGCGCUGAUUCACAUGAAAAGGUAAGACAUUUUCAUUUACGGGAAAACUUGAUAAAUAAACAUAUAUUGAAUUUUUAAUCUUUUCUUUUUAUUUCAUAGAGACAUCAUGGGUAUAGAAGAAAAUUCCAUGAAAAGCAUCAUUCACAUCGAGAAUUUCCAUUUUAUGGGGACUAUGGAUCAAAUUAUCUAUAUGACAAUUGAUAUCCUUAGUAAUCAUGGGGCAUGAUUAUAGAGGUAAGCUGACUCUAGUUGCUUGUCUUUCUAGAAGUGUCAACACUGACAGUUUAAAAAAAAAGCCAUAAGCUAACAACCAUUCCAGUUUAAGAAAUGUAGCAUGGGUUAGCUCCUUGAAGUGUAUUCAUUUGUAUAAAUGCUUCUGAAGCUGUAGAUAUGUGGUGUUAUUUCUGAGGUCUCUGUUCUGUGCCAUUGGUCUGUAUGUUGUUUUGGUACUGGUACCAUGCUGUUUUGGUAACUGUAGCUUUGUAGUAUAGUUUGAAGUCAGGUAGUGUGAUGCCUUCAGCUUUGUUCUUUUGCUUACAAUUGUCUUGGGUAUAUGAGCUUUUCUUUGGAUCCAUAUGAAAUUUAAAGUAGUUAUUUCUAAUUCUGUGAAGAAUGUCAAUGGUCAUUUGAUGGGAAUAGCAUUGAAUCUAUAAAUUACUUUGAUCAGUAUGGCCAUUUUCAUGAUAAUGAUUUUUCUUAUCCAUGAGAAUGGAAUGUUUUUCCAUUUGUUUGUGUCCUUUCUUAUUUCCUUGAGCAGUGGUUUGUAGUUCUCCUUGAAGAGGUCCUUCACAUCCUUUGUUAGCUGUAUUUCUAGGUAUUUUAUUCUCUUUGUAGCAAUUGUGAAUGGGAGUUCAUUCAUGAUUUGGGUCUCUGCUUGCCAUCUGAUAUUCAACAAACCUGACAAAACAAGUAAUCAAGAAAGGAUCUCCUAUUGAAUAAAUGAUGCUGAGAAAACUGGGUAGCCAUAUGCAGAAAACCGAAACUGGACCCCUUCCUUACACCUUAUACAAAAAUUAACUCAAGACAGAUUAAAAACUUAAAUGUAAUACCCCAAACCAUGAAAACCUGAGAAGAAAACUUAGGUGAUACCAUUCAGGACAGCCGUUGGCAAAGACUUCAUGUAAAAAAAUGCCAAAAGCAAUUGCAACAAAAGCCAAAAUUGACAAAUGGGAUCUAAUUAAACUAAAGAGCUUCUGCACAACAAAAGAAACUAUCAUCAGAGUGAACAGGCAACCUAGAGAAUGGGAGAAAAUGUUUGCAAUCUACUCAUCUGUCGAGCUCUAAUAUCCAGAAUCUACAAGGAACUUAAACAAAUUUACAAGACAAAAACAAACAACCCCAUCUAAAAGUGGGCAAAGGACAUGAACAGAUAGUUCUCAGAAGAAGACAUUCAUGCAGCCAACAAACAAGAAAAAAAGCUUAUCAUCACUGAUCAUUAGAGAAAUGCAAAUAAAAAUCACAAUGAGAUACCAUCUCACUACCAGUCAGAAUGCUGAUUAUUAAAAAGUCAAGAAACAAUAGAUGCAGGUGAUGCUGUGGAGAGACAAGAACACUUUUACACUGUGUGUGAGAAUGUAAAUUAGUUCAACCAUUGUGGAAGACAGUAUGGUGAUUCCUCAAGGAUCUAGAACCGGAAAUACCAUUUGAUGCAGCAAUCCCAUGACUGGGUAUAUACCCAAAGGAACGUAAAUCAUUCUACUAUAAAGACAUAUGCCUACAUAUGUUUAUUGCAGCACUAUUUACAAUAGCAAAGACAUGGAACCAACCCAAAUGACCAUUAAUGAUAGACUGGAUAAAGAAAAUGUGGUACAUAUACACCAUGGAGUACUAUGCAGCCAUACAAAGGAAUGAGAUCCUGUCCUUUGCAGGGACAUGGAUGAAGCUGGAAGCCAUCAUCCUCAGCAAACUAACACAGGAACAGAAAGGAAACAGCACAAGGUCUCACUCAUAAGUGGGAGCUGAACAGUGAGAACACGUGAAGACAGGGAGGGGACAACACAAACCAGGGAUGGAGGGGAGGGAGUAAGGGAAGGUAACAGAGGACUGAUCAAUAGGUGCAGCAAACCACCAUGGCACACAUAUACCUAUGUAACAGAACUGCAUGUUCUGCAUAUGUAUUCUAGAACUUAAAGUAAAAUUAAAAAAUAAAAUGAAAUAAAAUAAAAAUGCCUCCGAGGGAAAGCUUCUGUUCACCAGUGUUAAGAUGCUGAGUUCUGGGUAGGAACUAUAGUUCCAGUUCUGACCUGGAACUAUUCCUAAUCUUCUCCAUACCUCAGUUUUCUAAUCGACAAAUACAUAUUAUAAUACUACUUAAGCUUUUUAUAGAGUUGGAAAGACUAUUGAGAGACAUUAUAUAGAAGCCCUUGUUCUGGAAGGUGUAUGGUUGUGGCCAUAGGCUUCUCUGCCACUAACACUGUACAUGGAUGUUAUUUGAAGUUUUCUGUCCUAAAAUGAAAUCUUUGAAGAAGUUGCACAACCACCAUCUGGGAACUCAUAAAAAAUUUACAUUUUAUGCCUAAGCAACUCUAAUGAGCAAUUGCUAUAGGAAUGACUAAUAUAACAUCAACAAGGAGAUGGGAAUUUUCAAGGAAAUAGAAAAUGGUAACAAUUUCCUUUUCAUAAAGUCAGUUUUAUUUAUCUAUAUUCACAGCAUAAAAUGUUCCAAAAUCUAUGAGAUACUAAAGAUUACAUUUCAAAAUAAAGCAAUAUUUUGGAGAUAACAGAGUACUGUUCUACAAUUCAAAGCUGAAAUAGUUCAAAAGGUGUCAAAUAUUUUUUAAUGUAUUGGGACAUUUUAUUCAUAUUGAAUUCCUGCUCUUUGUGAUAUCAGAAAAAGCCUGAUCUUUAUCCUCCAGGUGUUAGAUAAUUGCUGAUGACAUUUAAUCAGGGGAGGAUAUAUUUAAAAUAUUAUUUGGGGGAGAUAGAUGAAAUGUGUAGGCUAUAUUUAAGUGGAAGAAUAAAGUAAGAUGAUGAUGGAAAACCUCAAGAAAAAUUUAAAUUUAAUUGCAAAUGCUGAAUGAUAAUUUUUAUUUAUUCUGAUACCCACUUAAUGAGUAUUUAAUUGUCUACUCUAUAUCAAAUAGUAUUUUGGUCCCUGCAUUAUAAUAAAUAAAACUAUCUAUAAAUACAUACUUUCUGCCAGCAAGAGUAUAAAUUUAUUUAUAGGAGUAUCCAUUUUGAAGAUAAAGUGUUAUUUUCUUUUUCUUCACAGGUUUGACUGGCAAAUUCACUUUUUACUCAUUUAUUCUCAUUCAUCAUACCGCAUCACACUACCACUGCUUUUUGAAGAAUUAUCAUAAGGCAAUGGAGAAUAAAAGAAAGACCAUGAUUUAGUGAAUUCUGUGUUUCAUGAUACUUCCCUUCCUAAUUAUCAUUUGAUUAGAUACUUGCAAUUUAAACUGUUAAGCUGUUUUCACUGCUGUUUCUGAGUAAUAGAAAUUCAUUCCUCUCCAAAAGCAAUAAAUUUCUAGCACAUUA